GCUGCACACGGACAGUCAGACUCUCCUGCUCACCUCCUCUGUUUGGUCCAUUCACGUCCUUCCUCCUCCGGCUGUUGGACGACGGGCGAGGAGCAGGGAAUGCUGACAUAUCUGGGACAAGAAACUCACAAGGAUAAUAGGCCAGCUCUAAACUUAUAAUGGUUUGUCGUUGUUCUGACUUCUCUGCAGUGUUUGUGAAAAAAAUAAUAAAGACAAUCCUGUCUUAGUUGAUUUAUGGUGACACCUACAUCAGACAUGAUCCACGAAGAAGUUAAUUAUGUGAUAGCUUACCAUCUGCCAAGCAGCAAGGUACUCAUUUCAUUUGCAACCAGAUAACCUAGAAGAGGUAGCCCCGAUCGUGGAGCAAAAUGAUAUCAGGGCUCAAGACAAUAUUCAAGAGGUAGUCCCUGUGCAAUCAUGGAAGGUGAAUAGAUAUACAGUAGGUGUUUUUGGAAACAAUGUCACUGCUCCUGGUGUUGGAGGUGCCCAGUGAGGCAGUAGACUAAGGAGGGGUGUAAAAGGUGCACUUAAUCUUAUUAGAAAAAACCUAAGAAAAUUCAUUUCACAGAGGAGCUGAACACAACACAUGAAGCAACAAAGCCAGAGGAUUGUUCGGAUGGAGAUACACCGGUGAAUGGCAGAGAUGGAGCAGGCCUCUCCAACAUUAACAAUGGUGAUAUAAAAGCUUGAUGGAAGUCACUCGGAAGAAACAACGCGAGAAAAUGAUGGCAUGUCACCUGGAAAUGGCCCGGGCUAUGUAUGGAGUGGAGAAAUUUCAGAUACUGGGGGUAGUUCAAGCAGAGGGGGUGCGCCACAUAAGACUCUGGAUGCCCAAGGCAUCACGGCUAAGACGACUCAUUUGGUAUCUUAGUCACUGCUUCUAUCAACAUCAGCAAUUCAAGCCAUCCCAGUCCGUUCAGUCGAGAUUGUCGAGCUUUAGAAUGAAAGAAAUGUAAAGUUGAACAGACUUGGGCGUCAGGCAGAGAAAUCAAAUUGACCUAGGUAUUGUCAGUGAUUAAAGAUGAAUAGACGAUCAGGUCACUCGCAGGUUCUGUACAUUUUGUGCAAUAUUGGUUUGCAGAAUCAACAUUUAUAACUAUCUAUGUAUAGUCAUGCUAUUGUUUUGCAAGAUUUGCCAUUUCUCUGAUUGAGUAAUUUUUUUUGGUUAGAUGACCUCCUUGAUUUCUUUUUGUCUGGCAUAACAAUUAUUGAAGCUAAUAAAGUUUAGCUUACUCUUGCUGUAAAAUGUAUCCAAAUUUCUAUUUUGUUUUGCUAGACUAGACUGUUAGUAAUACAAAAUCUAAGAUUGGAAUAUUUUUUUAGAGAAGAGCUUGCAUAUGUACAAUGUUGCCUUAUAUCAGAUCUUUUUACAUGCGUAUAUGUAUGGUAAGGUGCUCUGUUUUCUUUUUAAGCUAAUGCUCUUUAACACUUUCUCCUUUCGUCUUUUUCCAUGAUCAAUGCAUAUAAGUAUAUUGCAUCCACCGGUAGACGAGAUGAAGACAUUUGGGAGCACAAGUAAAUGUAUGUUAUCAACAUGAAACCCAUACGACCUUCUCUAAAUUUUUAAUUGGAUGUGUGUGAUUUGAUAAAUCACAUAUCAGCUUGACGCAUCAAGAAGUCCGAUUGUGGUUUGGGCUGUUGAUCUGAGAGACUUGCAUGACCUCUAUAGUGCAUAUGAGCGAGUGAGCUAAAAGAUCUGUCAUGGUUUUACCACUUAUUCAGAUUGGAGAGCAUAUAGUCAUGUCACACCCUCAGCAAGA